GAGGACUUAGCUUAAUUAAAGUGGUUGGUUUGCAUUCAGCUGAUGU
rnacentral:tRNA from 1 species